rnacentral:lncRNA from 1 species
AGGUAAAAAGAUGAAAACAAAAUCAACAUUUUGAAUGAGGUAUUUCAAAAUUUCAAAUCGUAUUGUAAAAUCACAAUUGCUUCACCUUGAGUUGUUUUCCGAUCUGGCAACUUUUAGAAAAGUGAAUUCAAUCAUUAUUAACCUCAUAUACCGCAUCGCAUUCUCGCUAAACCAACCUCUUCUUUUCCCCUCACCAUGAAUGAUAUUAAAAUUAAACAUUAGCAGUUGUGCGAUACAUGUCCAAAAUUAUGUUGAUAUUAAUAUUUUACUUCAAGUUUUUACAACAGGAUUUGGCAGAACUACAAAAAGUUUGCAUUUUAAAGCAUUAAGAGUAAGAAUAACCUUCCUCUCUUCCGGGAAAAGAUUAUAAGACCCUCUUAGGUAACAAGUCAUUUGUCUUUCUGCCUUAAAAUCCACAAAGGAAAUCAAACAACUUACCGAAUAUUCGUGAGAAUUACCUUUAAAACACAAUUGAAAAAAAAUGAAAGGAUGAGCAAAGUAUUCUCGAUGCGCUUGUGUUUGAUAAUAUAGUUACCACUGGUAUUUAUGUUAAACAUAAUUCAUAUCUUAAUUAAUUGCAUACAAGAGAAAAUGUUCACUGUCUUUUCAGAAGAGACAUACUAGAAGUUACAGCUCAACUUUUGCUCAACGCAUUGAAAACGAAUGAAAUAGACGGUCUCGCAAUAUUUUCGUUAAUUGUUUUGAUGAAUGUCACCACACGCACGAUCUACAUCGUUACAAUGAAAUCAUGGGUCGCUAUGUGGACCGUAAAUUGCAGGGAAAUGUUGCUGUUUCUCCGCUUUUACAGAUUGUGGGCCUUGCAGCAUCGUUGGGAGUUGGAGGACAUACAGAUCCUAAAGCGGCCAUGUGUCAUAUGAAGAAACUACUAGCAAACUUGGAUGCUGCAUUUUUAUGUACAGUUAGGAGAAACAAAAUGGACUUACAGAAAUACAUGAAGAGCAAAUUUUAAAGAGCAUAUUGUGCCGGCUAAAAAGAGGGUCAACGACAUGUACAGGAAAGCUGUCUUGGAAAACAUGCAUGCCAUAGAUCAAUAUAUGAUUACCCAUCCAAGUUUGGCAGAACUACCACCCAUGACCGAAUUAACUGAUAAAUGUCGUUUACCAUCCACCGCUGGUGAUGUCUCAUUUCAAAACUGGCUCAGUGAUUUUAAAAAGGCGUUAGUGAUGUUUCUUCGGAGCGUGUUCGCAGAAUGAUGUUUCCGUGUUAGGAACAUUUGCAGAUGUACAACAAAUCAUUGAUGAUUCAUGCUGAUGCUAGAAUUAAAGAUGCAAAAGCAGUUCUUGUAGAGUUUAUGAACGAGCAUCAAGAAAAACUUGAGGACAACGAAAACAGAUAAGAUGCUCCUAAGACUAUACGAAAAUUUGAAGGCCCAAACCUUCGAUGCUGAACCGGAAAGUCCAAAAUUGUUAAAACCCAAGGAAUUGAUCAACAACACACUUGGAAACAACGAUCACACAAGAGGAAUUGUGUCCGUAAAACUCGUGAGCUGGCUAAAGCACUUUUGAAUGAAACGGAUUCUCUGAAGCCAUUAAAUGCCAAAGAGUGUGUUGGUCAGGGAAUGUCAAAUGAAAAAGGAGGUAUGUGAAUGAAAUGGUAUUCAUCCGUUACCCAUUUUUCGGUACAGUUCUGCCAAACGUGACUGAUACACGUUUAAACAUGUCAUAGGAAGGACGGGGGACAGGCGGACAAACAGUCCGCAAUAGCCGAUCGGAACUUCCAUAUAAUAUUGUUUAGAAAGCAAAUACACUUAACAAGACUUCCGAUGCCCAUACAGUCACUUCCUAUCGUGAUGUGUUCCUUGGUGCAGAAUAGUUAUAGGUUAUUAGAUUUGUGUCAAGAAAUAAGCACGAGUUCUGCAGCGGAGUAUUGCGCUACUUUUUUGCUCGCAAUAUUAUUUCGCCAAAAAUCAAGUGCACAUUUCUCGAUACAAAUCUAAUAAUCUUUAAAUUACAUACGCAUUUACACUUGUUAUUAUUUUUAAAAUGAUAUAUUUUUUGUUCAUUAGCCGGAGUAAAAUUGAAAAUGUCGUCCUUAAAGAUAUUUUAAACGCGACGAUGCACACGAAACUGAUGUCACCAAUGAAGCCACGCAACCAUGCAAAAAGGUAACAAGCUUGCGGAAGAAAAACGGGAUAAAGAAAGCAAAUCGAAAAUGACUGACGAUGAGAAGGAAUUACAAUGCUUUAAGUGCAGCAAAUUUAUUUGCAUGUCGUCUGAUAUCCGUAAAAUUUAAGGCACUCAACACGUAGUAAUCGACGAAGCAGUACAAAAGCGAAUCAGUUGGACUAGAAAUCCACUUCCUAAAUUCAAAAAUGAUGCGCUGAAAAAUGAUGGCAAUUCUUUUUGUGGCAACAGCAAUUGUCAGCAAUAGCUUGGCCGCGUCUGCGAAUACCAUGGCACAGAGUUCCCACUGAUUUCUGUCAGCAAAUUUCGCGUAGUUGACAAGAAUGGACAAGGAGAUACCUUUCCAAAGUGGAAAAGCGUUAACUUUGUUGUUGAGGAGUUUAGUCUUGAGCAAUUAGAUGAAGUUGUCGAAAAGAGAAAUGAUGUUAAGUUGAUAUGUACAUAGACGAAAGUACUCAAAAUAUUUUCCUCAUCUGUUCUUUAGUGCAGUUGUAUUAUAAUCUCAUUAUUUGGGUUAUUUCAUAAUGUCUUUGUAACUUUCCCGGGGGCUAUCGUAUUAACCGGGGCCGUUAUAUAGUAUCAUGUUUAAGCAUAAUUGUGAAUCACAAAAGAAAACAGUUUAUUUUAUGACUUCCGAAUGUAAUCGUCUUUCAAUGAGGAAAAUGUCGAGCAGACUAAAUUUCAUGUUUAACUUAUCUUCUAUGUAAUGGACAACAUGGACAACAUUGCUGCUAUUUUCAAAAAACAAUUGGGUACUCGUGCACAAACCAAGUAACGGCAUUGCCUGGUAACCGUUUAUAGGUUAAAGCUGCACUUGAUUCAGAAAUUAAAUACGUGUUUUCUACCUCCACCUGCCAGAACAAUGUGACUUUAGCGAAAGUCCUUCCUUAAUCUGCAUAUUUCAUGAUAGUAAAUGCUGUAAGCUGAUGUUCAACCAAUGUCUAUGUAACUUCCGUGUACCGUUAGGUUUAACAUCUUGUUACAAUCACCACAAUACACGGUUUUAACGCAGUAAAUGAUUAUAAGCUAAUCAGUUGCCGAUUCAUUAUACUACUGUUCAACAUAACCGAGACUUUGAACAGUAUCCGCAUUCACUUCUAAAUCAAGGGAAAGGGCACAUAUAGACAGUCAUAAAGUAAGUAAAUUCCCAUGCCAAAUUAAUAAGAUAGUAACAAUUAUCCCAUUUGAUCUGUGACAGGAAUUUUGGAUUUGAUUUAAAUAGUUUUCCCCAGGAAGCGCCUUUCGUUUAUUUUUAAAGGUCUAGCCUCAUUUAAUUUCAAAUUUCACUUUCAGUGACUUGUUACAGUAAUGCGUGUCGAGUCACAUUAUAGUGCACAUACCGCGACGUAACAUAGAUAAGAUAGCAAAGAAGUUUCAUUUAGAAAGAGUCUCUGAGCUAAUUGCGACAGGAUAGCUAAUUCUUAGUUUGCCAAUAUUUUCUUGACCAGACUGCAAAGUAAAAAACGUGCAUGUCACUCGAAAGCUUCGGUCUUUUUCAUUGUUUUCGAACAAAAGUCAUAUUUUAAUACCGACCUGCCGAGACGGGAAUCAUAUCUUAUCAAAUGCUUUAUUCAAGUGUUGACGAAAAAAAUGAAAAUUUAAGAUAAUGUCUGUUUUACUGACAAAAUGAAUCCUAAUACAAGACCUAACAUGCUUAUUGAAUCCACGCUUAACUUGAUUGAUUCGAGUAGUAAUGAAUUGGACAUCAUGCGAUCAUUUGACAUCAUGAACGACGUCAUAUAAGA